rnacentral:lncRNA from 1 species
UGUUCCAAAACGUGUACCAUAUAGGCAAUGGCAUGGUGAAUUUUAAAAUAAACUGGAGCUCACGUGUGUAAAAGAGACAGCGAUGUGACAGCCGCGGAUUCAUCCAUCCCUGCAUUCCUGUCAGAGGUGCGCAUGUGACCUCACUCUGUGAGUUAACACGGUGCCUAGACAGCCUCCGACAGACCACGGUUACGAUGUCGGGAGCUGUACACCUACGUCGUGUUACCGUGGACACCUGCUGGAGCGUUCCGGUUCUGGCUGCUCUAAUGACUCUGCUGGUCUGCAUGCCGUCAUCGUACAUGGGCCUUGUGUUUGUCUAUGUCGUGGAAGACUAUGGUGUGAGCCGCGCUUUGGCAUCGUGGACGCAAACCGGGCUCUUCGUUGCGGUGCACCUCUCAGGCAAGUCAACUGACUUGACCAGGCUUCCCGGACAAU